GCCAGGCGUGGUGGCACACGCCUGUAAUCCCAGCUACUUGGGAGGCUGAGACAGGAGAAUUGCUUGAACCCAGGAUGCUGAGGUUGCAGUGAGCUGAGAUAGUGCCACUGCACUCCAGCCUAGACAACAGAGUGAGACCCUGUCUCAA
rfam:Homo sapiens chromosome 15, GRCh38 reference primary assembly.